GGGUGCGUAGGCGGCUAUUUAAGUCAGCGGUGAAAUUUUGCAGCUUAACUGUAACAGUGCCGUUGAAACUGUUUAGCUAGGAUUUGGUUGCAGUGUGCGGAAUGUGUGGUGUAGCGGUGAAAUGCUUAGAUAUCACACAGAACACCAAUUGCGAAGGCGGCACACUAAGUCAAUAUUGACGCUGAGGCACGAAAGUGUGGGGAUCAAACAGGAUUAGAUACCCUGGUAGUCCACACUGUAAACGAUGAUAACUCGCUGCCGGCGAUACAUUGUCGGUGGCCAUGCGAAAGCAUUAAGUUAUCCACCUGGGGAGUACGACCGCAAGGUUGAAACUCAAAGGAAUUGACGGGGGCCCGCACAAGCGGAGGAACAUGUGGUUUAAUUCGAUGAUACGCGAGGAACCUUACCCGGGCUCGAACGGUGCAUGAAUAUAUGAGAGAUUGUAUAGUCUUCGGACAUGCAUCGAGGUGCUGCAUGGUUGUCGUCAGCUCGUGCCGUGAGGUGUCGGCUUAAGUGCCAUAACGAGCGCAACCCUUGUCAUUAGUUGCCAUCAGGUUAAGCUGGGGACUUUAAUGAGACUGCCACCGUAAGGUGUGAGGAAGGUGGGGAUGACGUCAAAUCAGCACGGCCCUUAUGUCCGGGGCGACACACGUGUUACAAUGGGAGGUACAGAGGGCAGCCAUCCGGCGACGGAGCGCUAAUCUCGAAAACCUUUCUCAGUUCGGAUUGGAGUCUGCAACUCGACUCCAUGAAGGUGGAUUCGCUAGUAAUCGCGCAUCAGCCAUGGCGCGGUGAAUACGUUCCCGGGCCUUGUACACACCGCCCGUCAAGCCAUGGAAGCUUGGGGUGCCUGAAGUUCGUGACCGCAAGGAGCGACCUAGGGCAAAACAGGUAACUGGGGCUAAGUCGUAACAAGGUAGCCGUA
rnacentral:rRNA from 1 species